AUUGAACGCUGGCGGCAGGCCUAACACAUGCAAGUCGAACGAUAACAGGAAGCAGCUUGCUGCUUUGCUGACGAGUGGCGGACGGGUGAGUAAUGUCUGGGAAACUGCCUGAUGGAGGGGGAUAACUACUGGAAACGGUAGCUAAUACCGCAUAACGUCGCAAGACCAAAGAGGGGGACCUUCGGGCCUCUUGCCAUCGGAUGUGCCCAGAUGGGAUUAGCUAGUAGGUGGGGUAACGGCUCACCUAGGCGACGAUCCCUAGCUGGUCUGAGAGGAUGACCAGCCACACUGGAACUGAGACACGGUCCAGACUCCUACGGGAGGCAGCAGUGGGGAAUAUUGCACAAUGGGCGCAAGCCUGAUGCAGCCAUGCCGCGUGUAUGAAGAAGGCCUUCGGGUUGUAAAGUACUUUGCAGCGGGGAGGAAGGCGAUAAGGUUAAUAACCUUGUCGAUUGACGUUACCCGCAGAAGAAGCACCGGCUAAC
rnacentral:rRNA from 1 species